ensembl:snRNA Gm26111 predicted gene, 26111
GUGCUCACUUCCGCAGCACAUACACUAAAAUUGGAACAAAACAGAGAAGGUUAGCAUGGCCCUUGUACAAGUAUGACAUGCACGUUCAUGAAGCUUCCAUAUUUUU